UACGAAGGUUGCAAGCGUUACUCGGAAUUACUAGGCGUAAAGGGCAGGUAGGUGGUUUGGUAAGUCUAUUGUGAAAGCUCCCGGCUUAACUGGGAGAGGCCAAUGGAUACUAUCAAGCUUGAGUAUAGGAGAGGUUACUGGAAUUCCCGGUGUAGCGGUGAAAUGCGCAGAUAUCGGGAGGAACACCAAUGGCGAAAGCAGGUAACUGGACUAUUACUGACACUCAACUGCGAAAGCUAGGGGAGCAAACAGG
rnacentral:rRNA from 1 species